rnacentral:rRNA from 1 species
GGUGAGUAAUGUCUGGGAAACUGCCUGAUAGAGGGGGAUAACUACUGGAAACGGUAGCUAAUACCGCAUAAUGUCACAAGACCAAAGAGGGGGACCUUCGGGCCUCUUGCCAUCAGAUGUGCCCAGAUGGGAUUAGCUAGUAGGUGGGGUAAUGGCUCACCUAGGCGACGAUCCCUAGCUGGUCUGAGAGGAUGACCAGCCACACUGGAACUGACCCACGGUCCAGACUCCUACGGGAGGCAGCAUUGGGGAAUAUUGCACAAUGGGCGCAAGCCUGAUGCAGCCGUGCCGCGUGUAUGAAGAAGGCCUUCGGGUUGUAAAGUACUUUCAGCGAGGAGGAAGGUGUUGUGGUUAAUAACCGCAGUAAUUGACGUUACUCGCGGGAAGAACACCGGCUAACUCCGUGCCAGCAGCCGCGGUAAUA